UGCUGCUAAACUUGCUUUUUUUUUUUUUUUUUUUUUUUUUUUUCCACCAAUGAGCUUUAUCAGUUUUUCUUUCUGCAGGCAUUUCUUUGUAAUCCUUCACAUUUCAUCCAUGCGAUUGCUGGCUUAAGUUUGCGGAAUUGAUCCUCUAGCAAAAUAGUAGUUGGGAAUGGGAACUGAAGAACCGAAAGACCCUUUGAAGGGGAUGGACUGGAAAGCCAUCGGCAGUGACCUACAGAAGGAUCCUUCUGCUAAACCAAUUGUAAAGAAGCGAUCGCCAAGAAAGAUUAAGCAAAUACCGGACUAUUAUUUUCUUUCUUGAAGAUCUUUGGCCUCAACUAUUGCCUUUUAUGGGGCAUGCAUUGCUGGUGGAAUUGGUGCUGGAAUGCUGUUGGAGAUCUGGAUAAACAAGAAAAUCAAAGAGGAUGGAGGCAUGAUUUGGGAGUUCAACAAGUAGAGGCAGUGUGGCGUGCUUGCUUGGCAAAUUAAUCAACACGGUUGAGAUCAUGCAUGAAGUGUAAAGUGGUUUUACCUCCCGUGAAGCUGAUCAUGUGGAGUGUACAUGGAUUCAUGGGAUAUGGGUUUCUUCUGAGUAAUAAAGUUCAAUAACAGGAUCGUGAGAUCCACCAAAGAAGUUGGUACUUUAUGCAGACCAAGUUAUUAUGGACUGCAUUCAUUUUCAAUUCAGUAUUUUUUU